rnacentral:rRNA from 1 species
UUCCGAUCUGUGUGCCUGUUGAAGAAUGAGCCGGCGACUUAUAGGCACUGGCGGGUUAAGACGGGAAUGUCGAAGCCAAAGCGAAAGCGAGUCUGAAUAGGGCGAAUUAGUCAGUGAGUAUAGGCCCGAACCCGGGUGAUCUAACCAUGGGCAGGAUGAAGCUUGGGUAACACCAAGUGGAGGUCCGAACCGACCGAUGUUGAAAAAUCGGCGGAUGACCUGUGGUUAGGGGUGAAAUGCCAAUCGAACCCGGAGCUAGCUGGUUCUCCCCGAAAUGUGUUGAGGCGCAGCGGUAGUGGAUGUAUAUGGGGGGUAAAGCACUGUUUCGGUGCGGGCUGCGAGAGCGGUACCAAAUCGAGGCAAACUCAGAAUACCCAUAUAAAAACUACUAGUGAGACAGUGGGGGAUAAGCUCCAUUGUCAAGAGGGAAACAGCCCAGACCACCAGCUAAGGUCCCCAAAUCAGGAUUAAGUGAUAAAGGAGGUGGGAGUGCAAAGACAACCAGGAGGUUUGCCUAGAAGCAGCCAUCCUUAAAAGAGUGCGUAAUAGCUCACUGGUCAAGCGCUCCUGCGCCGAAAAUGAAUGGGGCUAAAUUCUGUACCGAAGCUGUGGGAUUAGAAAUAAUCGGUAGGGGAGCGUUCCGUUGUAGAGAGAAGUACUAGCGGUAAGCAGGUAUGGACGAAACGGAAGUGAGAAUGUCGGCUUGAGUAGCGCAAACAUUGGUGGGAAUCCAAUGCCCCGAAAUUCCAAGGGUUCCUCCGCAAGGCUCGUCCACGGAGGGUUAGUCGGGACCUAAGGCGAGGCUGAAAAGCGUAGUCGAUGGACAACAGGUUUAUAAUCCUGUACUGAUUAAAGAUAGUGAAGAGGGACGGAGAAGGCUAACACAGCCGGAUAAUGGAUACCGGUGUAAGUAUCCGAGGUGAAGAGGGAUGGAGAGAACAUCCUGAGCUGAGGUAUGAGUCGGAGGAUUUACGAAUCCGAAGUGUGUGAUGUCAGGCUUCCAAGAAAAGCUCUAACCACGAUAAUUUUUAAUUACCCGUACUCUAAACCGACACAGGUGGAAAGGUAGAGAAUACCAAGGGGCGCGAGAUAACUCUCUCUAAGGAACUCGGCAAAAUGACCCCGUAACUUCGGGAGAAGGGGUGCCUGCGAGAGCAGGUUGCAGUGAAGAGGCCCAGGCGACUGUUUACCAAAAACACAGGUCUCCGCAAAGUCGUAAGACGAAGUAUGGGGGCUGACGCCUGCCCAGUGCCGGAAGGUUAAGGAAGUUGGUCAGCGGUAACGUGCAGCUAGCGACCGAAGCCCCGGUGAACGGCGGCCGUAACUAUAACGGUCCUAAGGUAGCGAAAUUCCUUGUCGGGUAAGUUCCGACCCGCACGAAAGGCGUAACGAUCUGGGCGCUGUCUCAGAGAGAGACUCGGCGAAAUAGGAAUGUCUGUGAAGAUACGGACUACCUGCACCUGGACAGAAAGACCCUAUGAAGCUUUACUGUAGCCUGGAAUUGGGUUCGGGCUUUGCUUGCGCAGGAUAGGUGGGAGACAAAGAAUACAUUCUUGUGGGAAUGUAGGAGUCGACGGUGAGAUACCACUCUGGUGAGGCUAGAAUUCUAACUUUAUCCCGUUAUCCGGGAAAAGAACAGUUUCAGGUGGGCAGUUUGACUGGGGCGGUCGCCUCCUAAAAGGUAACGGAGGCGCGCAAAGGUUCUCUCAGGCUGGUUGGAAAUCAGCCGUAGAGUGUAAAGGCGUAUUAUCGUGACUGGGAAAC